AGCGCAGGCGGUGCGGCAAGUCUGAUGUGAAAGCCCGGGGCUCAACCCCGGUACUGCAUUGGAAACUGUCGCACUAGAGUGUCGGAGGGGUAAGUGGAAUUCCUAGUGUAGCGGUGAAAUGCGUAGAUAUUAGGAGGAACACCAGUGGCGAAGGCGGCUUACUGGACGAUAACUGACGCUGAGGCUCGAAAGCGUGGGGAGCAAACA
rnacentral:rRNA from 1 species